ACAUAAGGAGCAAGCGUUGUCCGGAUUUACUGGGCGUAAAGGCUCGUUAGCGGGCCGUCCAGUCCCCGGUUAAAACCCCCGGCUCCACCCGGGGGAGUCGCGGGAAACCGACCGGCUUGAGGACAGAAAAGGAAAGUGGAAUUCCCGGUGUAGCGGUGAAAUGCGUAGAUAUCGGGAGGAAUACCAGUGGUGAAGACGGCUUUCUGGUCUGUUUCUGACGCUGAGGAGCGAAAGCCAGGGGAGCGAACCG
rnacentral:rRNA from 1 species